AAACCAACUGGGAUUACCUUAGUAACGGCGAGUGAAGCGGUAAAAGCUCAAAUUUGAAAUCUGGUACUUUCAGUGCCCGAGUUGUAAUUUGUAGAAUUUGUCUUUGAUUAGGUCCUUGUCUAUGUUCCUUGGAACAGGACGUCAUAGAGGGUGAGAAUCCCGUUUGGCGAGGAUACCUUUUCUCUGUAAGACUUUUUCGAAGAGUCGAGUUGUUUGGGAAUGCAGCUCAAAGUGGGUGGUAAAUUCCAUCUAAAGCUAAAUAUUGGCGAGAGACCGAUAGCGAACAAGUACAGUGAUGGAAAGAUGAAAAGAACUUUGAAAAGAGAGUGAAAAAGUACGUGAAAUUGUUGAAAGGGAAGGGCAUUUGAUCAGACAUGGUGUUUUUUAAAUGUGCAAGUCUCUCGUGGACAUGUGCCUCUGGAAAUUAACACUGGGCCAACAUCAGUUCUGGCGGCAGGAUAAAUCAUUAAGAAUGUAGCUACCUCGGUAGUGUUAUAGCUUUUUGGAAUACUGCCAGCU
rnacentral:rRNA from 1 species